rnacentral:lncRNA from 1 species
UCAUCGGAUUAGUGAUAGGUUGAAUUUACUUGAUUAAUAAACCUAAAAAGAUAAGGAAUUUCAAAUCACUAGCGAGACACGAUAAAAGUAAAAACGCGGAGCAAUUGCACAGGAAAUUAGAAACUAUAAGCAGACUUAUCAAAAUCUAAUUAAUUUUCAAAAACUAAAAUAAAAGAGCUCUUACAGGAUCGAUAGAGAGACGUUUAUAGAGAGCAGAAACUAUGUUUCGCUUUCUAUUCAGAACUAUGCUAUCGUUGGACGACGCCAUUGCUUCUGUGCUCCCUCACUCUCUUUCUCCUCCUCCUCCUCCCC